rnacentral:rRNA from 1 species
GCCCUACGGGGGAAAGGGGGGGAUUCUUCGGAACCUCUCACUAUUGGAGCGGCCGAUAUCGGAUUAGCUAGUUGGUGGGGUAAAGGCUCACCAAGGCAACGAUCCGUAGCUGGUUUGAGAGGACGACCAGCCACACUGGGACUGACACACGGCCCAGACUCCUACGGGAGGCAGCAGUGGGGAAUUUUGGACAAUGGGGGAAACCCUGAUCCAGCCAUCCCGCGUGUAUGAUGAAGGCCUUCGGGUUGUAAAGUACUUUUGGCAGAGAAGAAAAGGUAUCUCCUAAUACGAGAUACUGCUGACGGUAUCUGCAGAAUAAGCACCGGCUAACUACGUGCCAGCAGCCGCGGUAAUACGUAGGGUGCAAGCGUUAAUCGGAAUUACUGGGCGUAAAGCGUGUGUAGGCGGUUCGGAAAGAAAGAUGUGAAAUCCCAGGGCUCAACCUUGGAACUGCAUUUUUAACUGCCGAGCUAGAGUAUGUCAGAGGGGGGUAGAAUUCCACGUGUAGCAGUGAAAUGCGUAGAUAUGUGGAGGAAUACCGAUGGCGAAGGCAGCCCCCUGGGAUAAUACUGACGCUCAGACACGAAAGCGUGGGGAGCAAACAGGAUUAGAUACCCUGGUAGUCCACGCCCUAAACGAUGUCAACUAGCUGUUGGGGCCGUUAGGCCUUAGUAGCGCAGCUAACGCGUGAAGUUGACCGCCUGGGGAGUACGGUCGCAAGAUUAAAACUCAAAGGAAUUGACGGGGACCCGCACAAGCGGUGGAUGAUGUGGAUUAAUUCGAUGCAACGCGAAAA